UACGUAGGGUGCAAGCGUUGUCCGGAAUUAUUGGGCGUAAAGAGCUUGUAGGCGGUUUGUCGCGUCUGCUGUGAAAUUUCGGGGCUCAACCCCGAACUUGCAGUGGGUACGGGCAGACUAGAGUGUGGUAGGGGAGACUGGAAUUCCUGGUGUAGCGGUGAAAUGCGCAGAUAUCAGGAGGAACACCGAUGGCGAAGGCAGGUCUCUGGGCGAUUAACUGACGCUGAGGAGCGAAAGCAUGGGGAGCGAACAGG
rnacentral:rRNA from 1 species